rnacentral:rRNA from 1 species
UACGUAGGGUGCGAGCGUUACUCGGAAUUACUGGGCGUAGAGCGUGCGCAGGCGGUCAGUUAAGUCUGAUGUGAAAGCCCCGGGCUCAACCUGGGAAUGGCAUUGGAAACUGGCUUGCUAGAGUGUGGCAGAGGGGGGUGGAAUUCCGCGUGUAGCAGUGAAAUGCGUAGAGAUGCGGAGGAACACCGAUGGCGAAGGCAGCCCCCUGGGCCGACACUGACGCUCAGGCACGAAAGCGUGGGGAGCAAACAGG